rnacentral:rRNA from 1 species
UACGUAGGGUGCGAGCGUUAAUCGGAAUUACUGGGCGUAAAGCGUGCGCAGGCGGUUCGUUAAGUCAGAUGUGAAAGCCCCGGGCUCAACCUGGGAACUGCAUUUGAAACUGGCGGGCUUGAGUAUGGCAGAGGGGGGUGGAAUUCCGCGUGUAGCAGUGAAAUGCGCAGAUAUCAGGAGGAACACCAAUGGCGAAGGCAGCUCGCUGGGACGUGACUGACGCUGAGACGCGAAAGCGUGGGGAGCAAACAGG